rnacentral:rRNA from 1 species
GAUGAACGCUAGCUACAGGCUUAACACAUGCAAGUCGCGGGGCAGCAUGGGGGUUGCUUGCAAUCCCCGAUGGCGACCGGCGCACGGGUGAGUAACGCGUAUCCAACCUGCCCUUCACCACGGGAUAACCCGGCGAAAGUCGGACUAAUACCGUAUGUUGUCCAUUGACGGCAUCCGAUUUGGACGAAAGGGUUGGCGGUGUAGGAUGGGGAUGCGUCCGAUUAGCUGGACGGCGGGGUGACGGCCCACCGUGGCGACGAUCGGUAGGGGUUCUGAGAGGAAGGUCCCCCACACUGGAACUGAGACACGGUCCAGACUCCUACGGGAGGCAGCAGUGAGGAAUAUUGGUCAAUGGGCGUAAGCCUGAACCAGCCAAGUAGCGUGCAGGAUGACGGCCCUAUGGGUUGUAAACUGCUUUUAUGCGGGGAUAAAGUGGCCCACGUGUGGGUUUUUGCAGGUACCGCAUGAAUAAGGACCGGCUAAUUCCGUG